rnacentral:rRNA from 1 species
UAAUACGUAGGGGGCGAGCGUUGUCCGGAAUUAUUGGGCGUAAAGAGCGUGUAGGCGGUUCGGUAAGUCUGCCGUGAAAACCCAGGGCUCAACCCUGGGCGUGCGGUGGAUACUGCCGGGCUAGAGGGUGGUAGAGGCGAGUGGAAUUCCCGGUGUAGCGGUGAAAUGCGCAGAUAUCGGGAGGAACACCAGUAGCGAAGGCGGCUCGCUGGGCCAUACCUGACGCUGAGACGCGAAAGCGUGGGGAGCAAACAGGAUUAGAUACCCUGGUAGUCCACGCCGUAAACGAUGAACACUAGGUGUGGGCGGAGUCGAAUCUGUCUGUGCCGCAGCCAACGCGAUAAGUGUUCCGCCUGGGGAGUACGGCCGCAAGGCUA